rnacentral:rRNA from 1 species
UACGUAGGGGGCAAGCGUUGUCCGGAAUUAUUGGGCGUAAAGCGCGCGCAGGCGGUCGAUUAAGUCUGGUGUAUAAACCAAGGGCUCAACCUUUGGACGCAUUGGAAACUGGUCGACUGGAGUGUAGGAGAGGAAAGUGGAAUUCCACGUGUAGCGGUGAAAUGCGUAGAGAUGUGGAGGAACACCAGUGGCGAAGGCGGCCACCUGGACAGUAACUGACGCUGAGGCGCGAAAGCGUGGGUAGCAAACAGG